rnacentral:rRNA from 1 species
GCCAUACCCACUAGGCCCAUAGUCAUGGGGCAGAAGGUUGGCAAUUAGGCUUCUCCAUAACAUAGGGAAGCAGGGCAAUUUGUCAAAUAAAAUAACAGUUACAAAUGGCAGUCUGUAACACCCCCAAAAUAAUGGGACAUAUAAUAAAGACAACUCUGUUCCGCUAUUGACAUUAUAGUUGCGCAGGCACUUUGUUGACUCUAGAGAACCUUGGGCCAAUCGCACAUCCCCGUGACGGCGACUUUGCAUUUGGAUGUCAUCCAUACCAACUUUCGAUGCCAGUUUCUGCGCCUACCAUGGUGACCAUGGGUAACGGGGAAUCAGGGUUCCAUUCCAUACAAGGACCCUGAGAAACGGCUAGCACAUGCAAGGAAGGCAGCAGGCG